rnacentral:rRNA from 1 species
AGCGAACGCUGGCGGCAGGCUUAACACAUGCAAGUCGAGCGGGCAUCCUUGUGGUGUCAGCGGCAGACGGGUGAGUAACGCGUGGGAACGUGCCCUUCGGUUCGGAAUAACUCAGGGAAACUUGAGCUAAUACCGGAUACGUGCGAGAGCAGAAAGGUUUAUCUGCCGAAGGAUCGGCCCGCGUCUGAUUAGCUAGUUGGUGAGGUUACGGCUCACCAAGGCGACGAUCAGUAGCUGGUCUGAGAGGAUGAUCAGCCACACUGGGACUGAGACACGGCCCAGACUCCUACGGGAGGCAGCAGUGGGGAAUACUGGACAAUGGGGGCAACCCUGAUCCAGCCAUGCCGCGUGAGUGAUGACGGCCUUAGGGUUGUAAAGCUCUUUUCUCCGGGACGAUAAUGACGGUACCGGAGGAAUAAGCCCCGGCUAACUUCGUG